rnacentral:rRNA from 1 species
UGCAUGUCUUAGCACAAGCCGAACAUGGUGAAGCCGCGAAUGGCUCAUUACAACAGCCUUUGUUUAUUUGAUCUUGAAAUCCUACUUGGAUGACUGUGGCAAUUCUAGAGCUAAUACACGCCAUGAAACUCGAAACGACCGUUUCGAGUGCAUUUAUUAGUACAAAACCAACCGGGCUCGUCCCGUACCCUGGUGAAUCUGAAUAACUGAGCCGAUCGCACGGUCUUUGCACCGGCGACGUAUCUUUCAAGUGUCUGCCCUAUCAACUUUCGAUGGUAGUUUAUAUGACUACCAUGGUUAUAACGGGUAACGGAGAAUAAGGGUUCGACUCCGGAGAAGCAGCCUGAGAAACGGCUACUA